CCCUGCCUUUUGUACACACCGCCCGUCGCUCCUACCGAUUUCGAAUGGUCCGGUGAACCUUCUGGAGGAUUAGCAAUAGUCCAAAGUUAAGUAAACCUUAUCAUUUAGAGGAAGGAGAAGUCGUAACA
rnacentral:rRNA from 1 species